rnacentral:rRNA from 1 species
CGGAGAAUGUUAUCACGGGAGACACACGGCGGGUGCUAACGUCCGUCGUGAAGAGGGAAACAACCCAGACCGCCAGCUAAGGUCCCAAAGUCAUGGUUAAGUGGGAAACGAUGUGGGAAGGCCCAGACAGCCAGGAUGUUGGCUUAGAAGCAGCCAUCAUUUAAAGAAAGCGUAAUAGCUCACUGGUCGAGUCGGCCUGCGCGGAAGAUGUAACGGGGCUAAACCAUGCACCGAAGCUGCGGCAGCGACACUGUGUGUUGUUGGGUAGGGGAGCGUUCUGUAAGCCUGUGAAGGUGUGUCGUGAGGCAUGCUGGAGGUAUCAGAAGUGCGAAUGCUGACAUAAGUAACGAUAAAGCGGGUGAAAAGCCCGCUCGCCGGAAGACCAAGGGUUCCUGUCCAACGUUAAUCGGGGCAGGGUGAGUCGACCCCUAAGGCGAGGCCGAAAGGCGUAGUCGAUGGGAAACGGGUUAAUAUUCCCGUACUUGGUGUUACUGCGAAGGGGGGA